rnacentral:rRNA from 1 species
AUGAACGCUAGCGACAGGCUUAACACAUGCAAGUCGAGGGGCAGCGGGGGUAGCAAUACCCGCCGGCGACCGGCGCACGGGUGAGUAACGCGUAUGCAACUUACCUAUCAGAGGGGGAUAACCCGGCGAAAGUCGGACUAAUACCGCAUGAAGCAGGGGCCCCGCAUGGGGAUAUUUGCUAAAGAUUCAUCGCUGAUAGAUAGGCAUGCGUUCCAUUAGGCAGUUGGCGGGGUAACGGCCCACCAAACCGACGAUGGAUAGGGGUUCUGAGAGGAAGGUCCCCCACAUUGGUACUGAGACACGGACCAAACUCCUACGGGAGGCAGCAGUGAGGAAUAUUGGUCAAUGGGCGUAAGCCUGAACCAGCCAAGUCGCGUGAGGGAUGAAGGUUCUAUGGAUCGUAAACCUCUUUUAUAAGGGAAUAAAGUGCGGGACGUGUCCCGUUUUGUAUGUACCUUAUGAAUAAGGAUCGGCUAACUCCGUGCCAGCAGCCGCGGUAAUACGGAGGAUCCGAGCGUUAUCCGGAUUUAUUGGGUUUAAAGGGUGCGUAGGCGGCCUUUUAAGUCAGCGGUGAAAGUCUGUGGCUCAACCAUAGAAUUGCCGUUGAAACUGGGGGGCUUGAGUAUGUUUGAGGCAGGCGGAAUGCGUGGUGUAGCGGUGAAAUGCUUAGAUAUCACGCAGAACCCCGAUUGCGAAGGCAGCCAGCCAAGCCAUGACUGACGCUGAUGCACGAAAGCGUGGGGAUCAAACAGGAUUAGAUACCCUGGUAGUCCACGCAGUAAACGAUGAUCACUAGCUGUUUGCGAUACAGUGUAAGCGGCACAGCGAAAGCGUUAAGUGAUCCACCUGGGGAGUACGCCGGCAACGGUGAAACUCAAAGGAAUUGACGGGGGCCCGCACAAGCGGAGGAACAUGUGGUUUAAUUCGAUGAUACGCGAGGAACCUUACCCGGGUUUGAACGCAUUCGGACCGAGGUGGAAACACCUUUUCUAGCAAUAGCCGUUUGCGAGGUGCUGCAUGGUUGUCGUCAGCUCGUGCCGUGAGGUGUCGGCUUAAGUGCCAUAACGAGCGCAACCCUUGCCACUAGUUACUAACAGGUGAUGCUGAGGACUCUGGUGGGACUGCCAGCGUAAGCUGCGAGGAAGGCGGGGAUGACGUCAAAUCAGCACGGCCCUUACAUCCGGGGCGACACACGUGUUACAAUGGCGUGGACAAAGGGAUGCCACCUGGCGACAGGGAGCGAAUCCCCAAACCACGUCUCAGUUCGGAUCGGAGUCUGCAACCCGACUCCGUGAAGCUGGAUUCGCUAGUAAUCGCGCAUCAGCCAUGGCGCGGUGAAUACGUUCCCGGGCCUUGUACACACCGCCCGUCAAGCCAUGGGAGCCGGGGGUACCUGAAGUCCGUAACCGCGAGGAUCGGCCUAGGGUAAAACUGGUGACUGGGGCU